rnacentral:rRNA from 1 species
UACGAGAGGCCCAAACGUUAUCCGGAAUCACUGGGUUUAAAGGGUGCGUAGGCGGUGAGAUAAGUCAGUCGUGAAAUCUCUUGGCUUAACCAAUGAAAUUGCGAUUGAUACUGUUUUACUUGAAAGAGGUUGAGGUCAGCGGAAUGUGGCAUGUAGCGGUGAAAUGCAUAGAUAUGCCAUAGAACACCGAUUGCGAAGGCAGCUGGCUGGGCCUACUUUGACGCUGAGGCACGAAAGCGUGGGGAGCAAACAGG